rnacentral:rRNA from 2 species
AACCUGCCCCAUAGUCUGGGAUACCACUUGGAAACAGGUGCUAAUACCGGAUAAGAAAGCAGAUCGCAUGAUCAGCUUUUAAAAGGCGGCGUAAGCUGUCGCUAUGGGAUGGCCCCGCGGUGCAUUAGCUAGUUGGUAAGGUAAAGGCUUACCAAGGCGAUGAUGCAUAGCCGAGUUGAGAGACUGAUCGGCCACAUUGGGACUGAGACACGGCCCAA